UUGUUGAAUUUCAAAUUAACCUACCAAUAAAUUGAAUUAAGAGAAGAAGAUUUAGAGGCAAUGUUGUAGCUAUGGUUGUCUUCUCCAACGGCCACUGGAUUCACCUCAGAAGUAGCUGCAGCAUCGUCUCUCUGCUUCCAUGAUAGGUUCUUGGCAUAUGGGCCUGAGCAACAUCCUAUAGUGCUGCUGAUUGGGUGAAAUAAUUUGAAGAAUUUGGCCAAAGCGACACAACUGGCAACUCCAUAUGGCUAUGAGUUGCGGAUGUCUUAACCCCAGAGUCGCUGGACAUGGGUGUUUUGGUGUGCUCUCAUGCUUGAUCCGUAAGAUUAGAUUUCCUUGCUUGAUACAUCAAAUAUAUAUUUUUUUCUGUAACAUUGCUCGGACAUAUGCACAACUUCUACAAGGAAAGUUGUAUGCUGCGUCCAUGUGCUUAAUUGCUGCAAAUACAAGUCCUCCUGUGAAUGUCAAAUGCAGAAUUGGACUUGAUGACCAUGACUCCUACAAUAAACUAUGGCUCUAUGAAAGACGUUGGUGGAGAAGAACAGUGUCUAUCGAAUGUCAAAGUGAUGUGCAGGCUAUACUUUUCCAGUGAGGAAGUGAAAGAACAAGGAAAAUGAUGUCAUGCAAAAGUUGCGGGAAGAAGAAAAUCACCGAAGCUUCCUGAAAGCUUGAUGGGUCAACAUAGAGGUACUCUUAUUGGCCACAAGAUUUGUCAGUUUUUAGUGUUGUACUCUUGCUAAUAUGCCCCUUUCUACUGAUCUCUUCCAUUGGAGUUCGUGGAGAUGUCCCUCAUACCGGCUUUGUGAGGGCUGUCGAAGAACCGGAGAUCCAAAAAAGUUCAUGUUUUGCAAAAGGUGUGAUGCAGCUUAACACUGGUACUGUAUGCAGCCUCCCCACAAGAACGUUAGUAGCAGGCCUUAUUUUUGCUCCAAACACACAAACUGUCACAGCUGUUAUUCUAAUGUUCCAGGAAAUGGACUGAGCCUGAGGUGGUUUUAGGAUACACUUGUUGUGAUGCCUGUGGAAGAUUAUUUGUGAAAGGAAAUUACCGUCCUGUUUGUUUGAAGGUAUGUAGAGAUUCUGAAUCAACACCUAUGGUCUGUCGUGACAUUUGCCAGCGCUAGGUGCAAUGCCAAUGUGAUGGCAUCAGGCAUAGAGGGACAGUCAUAGAAGUCUUUAAAGGUUCAUCUGUGUUGUCUGUUGCUCUUGAUGAUGGGAAGAAAAAGAACUUGGAACUUGGAAACCAAUGAAUACGUUUUGUGUCUCAGAAGCAAAAAUGUUGACUGCUAUUAAAAUUGGUUAUUAGAUGCAGCAUAUGUUGCGACUUCUAUUGCCAAGAGCAUGAGCAACUGCUGAUUUCUAGAGUAGUUCCUCCUUGGUGGACUCAAAUGAAGUAACUGAUCGUUGCAGGUCAAAUUUCAAGGUUACUUCACCCUGCAUCGUGUGUUCGCUGCAAGUUUGCUAACCUUUGCUUACCAUGUAUGGUGUUGGUUGGUUCUGUUAGUUUACCUGUCGUUUCCUAGUGUACAGAUUCUCUUUUCUGCUCAGAGGUAGAACUCAGUUUUUGAGCCUUUUGGUGGUACUUUAGUUUAAUCUUGCUGGGUUUGCAGUUUUAAUGUAAAAUAUCUAGAGAUUAGAAAGCUCUGCUCCUACUGGUUGUAAGGUAUUGCUCAGGGUAGAUGACAUUAUUAUACUUAUUUUUUAUUAUAGAAUAGCCAGUUGACCACUGUUUAAUAAGAAUUGACUAAAAUCACCAUGA